GGUGCUAUAGUGUAGUGGUUAUCACUCGGGAUUUUGACUAUCGUACUGUGUGUUGCUCCGGUCAUCAUUCCCGAAACCCAGGUUCGAACCCUGGUAGCACCU